UUUCCGUAGGUGAACCUGCGGAAGGACCAUUACAGAGUUCAUGCCCGACAGGGUAGACCUCCCACCCUUGUGUAUUAUUACUUUGUUGCUUUGGCGGGCUAAAGCGCGCCAGAGAAUAUCAAAACUCUUUUUAUUAAUGUCGUCUGAGUACUAUAUAAUAGUUAAAACUUUCAACAACGGAUCCCUUGGUUCUG
rnacentral:misc_RNA from 1 species